UACGUAGGGUGCGAGCGUUAAUCGGAAUUACUGGGCGUAAAGGGUGCGCAGGCGGUCUCGUAAGCUGGGUGUGAAAGCCCUGGGCUCAACCCAGGAAGAGCAUUCGAAACUUCCGAGCUUGAGUUUCGGAGAGGCAGGCGGAAUUCUCGGUGUAGAGGUGAAAUUCGUAGAUAUCGAGAGGAACACCGGUGGCGAAGGCGGCCUGCUGGACGAUGACUGACGCUGAGACGCGAAAGCGUGGGGAGCAAACAGG
rnacentral:rRNA from 1 species